GCGGCACAGAGUAGGUGCUGUAAACAAGCAUUCUGCGUGGUGUUUCAGGCAGAGCCUGGAAUUCUGAACGUCCUCAGAGCAACCUGAAUAGCUUGCAGAGAGGUGCCACACAUAGACUUUGCCACUCCAGUCAUGGAACCUGCUUAGCACCGACUUGUGGGUGCUGAGGAGAAAUAUAAGAGAGGACAAGAUGGGCCCAAUGUGUGCUGUGCUGAUGGAAGCAGAUAGACAGUGACCAGCAGGAAACUCACUGAAAAGGUUGUUUUACUCAAGGUUUUGAUCAAAGCCACAGAAAAUAGCACGAAGAUACCACCUGUGCACAUAUUUCCCCUUUCUUCCUCUUUUUGUUCUAUUUGGACCCACAGGCUAUGAAUAGAGACAUCUAUACUCACGAUGAGUCUUCCCCACUUGGUUCACGUUCCAUGUGCCAAUCUCUGAAAAACCUAUUAGACAAACCUGGAAUGUGCCCCAAACUCUAGGCACCUUUCAAUCCAUUAAGGUUGACACUGAAGAUCAACCAGCAUACAACUGAAACGGAGAGUAAGCUAGAGAAAUUGGGUCCUGCUGAAACUAACAACCAGAGAGAGGAGAAGAGGCAUGGGAGAAAGCAAAGCAAGCACAAGUCUUUCCUGCCAUAUUUUUUAUAUUUGGUUCUAAUUUAUCCUUAUGGACAGUAACAAUUUUACCUAUUUUAUUCAUCUUUGUGUUUUAAAAAUUAUUUAUUGUCUUUAUAAUUGAUGAGUGUUCUUGAUUUCAGCAUCAUUAAAAAAAUGAUGUUUGUGUAUAUUUUAUGUGUGAGUAUUUGCACCUGUACACAGGUGACUUUGAGGACCAGAAGAGGGCGUAGGAUCUUCUAGUGCUGAAGUUACUGGGGUUGUGAGAUGUCAUGUGUGGGUGGGGUGAACUAAACUUGGGGUUCUCUACAAGAGUAGUAUUCACUCUUAACUGUUGAGCCAUCUGUUUAGUCAGAAUCCAUUUCUAAUCCAUUUUAUUUAUUUUCUAUUUUAUCUUAUGUGCAUUGUGUGAGGGUGUGAGAUCCCUUGGAACUGGAGUUACAUAGCUGUGAGCUGCCACAUGGGUGCUGGGAAUUUAACUUGAGUCUUUCUAAAGGGCAGACAGUGCUUUUAACCACUGAGCCAUCUCUCUAGCCCCUCACUGUCUUGUUAUUACAUGUAUUUAAGAGAUCCAAACCCCCACUUUCUUGCAUUCACUUUAAAUUUUAAUCCAUGCUUAUUUAAUUUGAAAAAAUGUUCACAUGUCUUAAUUGGCAGGGGGUGGGGAACUGGUGCCAAGGCAUGCAUAUGGGGGUCAGAGGUCAAUUAGUGGACUUGGUUCUCCCUUUCUGCCAUGCGGAUCCUGGAAUACGAAUUCAGGUCGUCAAGCUUGGUAGCAUGUGUUCUCAUCUGCUGAGCCAUCUCCUCAGAAUUCCCUUUCCACAUGCCUGCUUAAAAGAAGCAAAAGUUUUACAGUGGGGGCUGGAGAGAUGGCUCAGUGGUUAAGAGCACUGAUUGUUUUUCUUCUGUAUUCUUCCUGGUUUGUCCAUCCUGAGUUCAAAUCCCAGCAACCACAUGGUAAUGAGAUCUGAUGCCCUCUUCUGGUGUGUCUGAAGAUAGCUACAGUGUACUUAUACAUAAUAAAUAAAUAAAUAAAUAAAUCUUUUUUUAAAAAGUUUCACAGUGUCCCACAUAACACUUGAUUACAGUGUAAUGGCAUAGGGAGAAGGAAGGUUGGAGGAGACAGAAAAACAGGGCCAUGAGCCUUUUCAUACUCAACAAGAUCACAAGACUCCUGCAAACUGCAGCCAAUUCAAUGAAUUACCACAUUCAUUGGUCACAACUCAGGGUCAGGCUGGUCAAAAUGGAAGCUUGCCAGGUGCCUCCUGUACUGAGCAGAGUGCCAAAGUCCAGUGCUCUGUUUGCUCUCUCCAGAAGCCCUUUCAUCCAGUAGCUGGUUUGCAGGUAUCCUUGAGCCUGUGGGAAUCCCAGACCCUCCCGCUGCCAUCUGCUUCGCUUUGGGGAAGUCUUCAGGACAGAGUAGGUGGACCCUCCUCCAGUCACUGUGCAAACAUGUUGUCACCGCCCCAAAUGUCCCUACUCUAGUUUCAGUCUUCUUUAUCCCUACACAGCUCAAAGAAACAGCAAAGGAUCUAGAAAGGUCACUCAGUGUGUAGAACACUAGCUUAGCCUGCAUGAAGCCCUGGAUGCAGUCUCCAGCAUAAACCACAGUGGUGGGACAAGCACGUGGGGCAUUUGAAUAUAGCCUGUGAGAAGCUACAUCCAUAAAAAAAAUAACAGUGAAAUCCCACUAGUGUGUGGUUGCCCAGGAAGGGGAUGAGAGUUGGAUUCUCUAAGUCAUGAGCGAAGAACCAGGAUAUGUGGCACACAGGGACUAGACACCCUGUGAUGGCUAACACUGAUGAUCAAUGUGACAGACUUUAGGUGCACCUGUGAGGGACUAUCUGAGAAUGUCUGUGAGAGAUGACCUUUCUUAAAAAAUAUUUUAUUAACCCUUUGAGAAUUUCCUACUUGCAUACAAUGUAUUUUGAUCAUAGUCCCCUACUCUUCUCCCCCAGCUCCACCUACAUUCACCCUUAACCCACCCAAUUUCAUGUCCUUUAGGGGAUUGUAUUUAUUACGUUAAUUAAUGUGAAAAAAAUCAAUCUCAGUUGGAAAAGGUGGACCCAUCUCCAGGACAGAGGAUCUUGGCUGUGUAGACAGAGAACAAGACCCUAUUAGUGGCACGCCUACACUCGCUGCUCUCGGUUCCUGGUUGUGAGACAACACAGCUGACCAUUUUAGGUUUCUGCUACCUUGACUGCCCCACCAUGAUGGACUGUACCCCUAAACUAUGAGCUAAAGCAACCCCUUUCUCUCUUACAUUGCUUUUCUCAGGGUAUUUUAUCAACGCAACAGGAAAGUAACUCAGACAUGCUCCAUCUUGCCAACUACAAAUGAGCCAGUUGGGUUGGUCCUUACAAGUUUCCCUACAAGGACCGAGCCAUUGUAAAUAGAAGCAUUGGGUUUUGCAUUUGAAUUCUUAA